rnacentral:tRNA from 1 species
GCCUGGUUGGCUCAGUGGUUGAGCACCUGCCUUUGGCUCAGGUCGUGAUCCCAGGGGCCUGUGAUCGAGUCCCACAUCAGGCU